rnacentral:rRNA from 1 species
AGCAGCCGCGGUAAUUCCAGCUCCAAUAGCGUAUAUUAAAGUUGUUGCAAGUUAAAAAGCUCGUAGUUGAAUUUCGGGGUUAGUAGGUUGGUCAUGCCUCUGGUAUGUACUGGUCUCACUGAUUCCUCCUUCCUGAUGAGCCUUAAUGCCAUUAAUUUGGUGUUUGGGGAAUUUGGACUGUUACUUUGAAAAAUUAGAGUGUUUAAAGCAAGCUAACGCUUGAAUACAUUAGCAUGGAAUAAUGAAAUAGGACGUUCGAUCCUAUUUUGUUGGUUUCUAGGAUUGACGUAAUGAUUAAUAGGGAUAGUUGGGGGCAUUAGUAUUCAAUUGUCAGAGGUGAAAUUCUUGGAUUUAUUGAAGACUAACUACUGCGAAAGCAUUUGCCAAGGAUGUUUUCAUU